rnacentral:rRNA from 1 species
CACGUAGGGCGCGAGCGUUGUCCGGAAUUAUUGGGCGUAAAGAGCUCGUAGGCGGUCUGUUGCGUCGGCUGUGAAAACCCGGGGCUCAACCCCGGGCCUGCAGCCGAUACGGGCAGACUAGAGUUCGGCAGGGGAGACUGGAAUUCCUGGUGUAGCGGUGAAAUGCGCAGAUAUCAGGAGGAACACCGGUGGCGAAGGCGGGUCUCUGGGCCGAUACUGACACUGAGGAGCGAAAGCGUGGGGAGCGAACAGG